CCAGCACUGCCUCCUUGACACCGGAGGGCAUCAGCACAUUUGCCCAGUAGGGGGCACAGGCAGCCACAGGGCCUGUGUGCCCCUUCCUGUUUCUUUAUAGCCCCUCAAAUUGUCCUGCUGUGUCCCGAAUGUGUUCAUUUCCUUUCUGUCUCCUUCUAGUUAGAACUUAUGACAUCUUUUCCUAGGUCAUUUUAGUCUGUGCUCCUUUGACUCUGCCGGACAUCUGAGUGCAGGGCUCUGCUCGGUUCUCACAGCACCCCUGGGUCUGUCCCAGAGCAGGGUGUUUUGAGAUGAGUGGUGAUGGGUUCAGUAACAGCAUUGUUUUUCUCUGAGCCUUCCCAUUACUUCUUACAGAUAGGAGGGGGUACCCAGUAGUAGUCUAAUGAACCCAGGUCCGAUUAAAACGUAGCCUGGGCACUGAUGCAGGCGCUGGCAGGGGACAUGGCUGGUCAUCUGUCACAGCUGCGGGGCAGGCACUGCCCUGGGGUGACUUCCCAACUCAGGAGUCUGUGUCUGAGGGUGGUGACAGCUAUUUUGUGCCUCAGGAGAAACUGAAGCCUGAGUACUUGAAGACGCUCCCUGACAAGAUGAAGCUCAUCUCACAGUUUCUGGGGAAGAGGUCUUGGUUUGCGGGGGACAAGGGCCUGAAGAAGAUCUCAGCCUACAUGAAGUCCAGCCGCUUCCUCCCAAGCCCUUUGUUUGGAAAGAUGGCCUUGUGGGGCAACAAGUAGGGCCUUUACAGCCAGCAAUGGGUGCUAGAAGCCAGUGCUGUGCCACUAUGCCCAGGCCCUGGAGAAGAGGCGGAUAUCCCUGAACCGCCAGAACCAGCUGUCUUGUUUAUUCGUUCUUUUUUUCUGUCCUUCACUCAGGCCCUGUUUGGCCCCUUUCCCUUCUCCAAUCCCAAUUCACCCACAUCUGAAUGCUCUACAGCACCCCAGUUGUCUCAGUGAAGUCUCCCCCUUAAUGUUGUCCUUCCUGCACUAAAGCCAACCAGACUGACCUUCCUUUCAGUGGUUUCUCUGGUUCAAGGAGCCCAACCGGACCCCUGGCCUGGAGAUUUCAACUCUGAUUACUCACCACUGCCCUGAACUCUGUGUGCUUAGGAGGGAGUUAUGAGUCCCGGCUUGCCGCAUACCCAAGGUCUGUCCUGCUUUGCCUAACCCUCAGGCCUGACGAAGAUCUCUGCCUACAUGAAGUCUAGCCAUUUCCUCCCAGGACCUCUCUUUCUAAAGGUUGCUGUGUGGGACAACAAGUAGGUUCAUGUGCAGUCAGAAUUUGGGUGCAAGGAGCACACAGGGCCCUGGAGAACAGAUGGACUUCUCUGCACCCUUAGAACCGGCAGUCUUACUUCUUUCUUUUUUUCACUCCCUUCUGCCCCUCACCAGAUGCCUUAUUGGCCCUCAUAUCAUUUUCCCAGCUCCCUUUUUGUCCAAGCACUCUAAAGCAUCAGCUCCCCACUUUUCAUCAGUGAUGUUUCUACCCCCUCCCACAUUAUCCCUCUUGUAGUAAAUCCAACCAGGCUGACCUUCCUUUCAGUGGUUACUUUGCUUUGAGGAGCUAAUUGGACCCCUGACCUAUAGAGCUUAGCCCUGAGCUCCCAGCACCGUCUUGAAGACCAGUAUUGGCCUGGGGUACAGGCCAUUCUCACCCAGCAUGGACCCUGGCAAACCCUGCCUGCUCCCUAAUAAAGCCUUAAUCACA